UAACGGAUGGGUAAUUCUCGAUGGCCCAGCGGGGAGACAUCUCUCUGCUGGUAAAGAAUUUCGCUCCGGGAGGGGUCCAUGUGCUAUUAGCUAGUUGGCGGGGUAACGGCCCACCAAGGCUAAGAUGGCUAGCGGGUGUGAGAGCACGACCCGCGCCACUGGCACUGAGACACUGGCCAGACACCUACGGGUGGCUGCAGUCGAGGAUCUUCGUCAAUGGGCGAAAGCCUGAACGAGCGACGCCGCGUGCGCGAUGAAGGCCUUCGGGUUGUAAAGCGCGAAAGUGGGGACGAAAGCCGAAAGGUUUGACCGAUCCACAGUAAGCUCGGGCUAAGUUCGUGCCAGCAGCCGCGGUAAGACGAACCGAGCGAACGUUGUUCGGAAUCACUGGGCUUAAAGGGCGCGUAGGCGGGCAUUCUAGUCUAUGGUGAAAUCCGGCAGCUUAACUGUCGAACUGCCGUGGAUACUGGAUGUCUCGAGGGAGGUAGGGGCGUGCGGAACUAUUGGUGGAGCGGUGAAAUGCGUUGAUAUCAAUAGGAACUCCGGUGGCGAAGGCGGCACGCUGGACCUCUUCUGACGCUGAGGCGCGAAAGCCAGGGGAGCAAACGGGAUUAGAUACCCCGGUAGUCCUGGCCCUAAACGUUGGGUACUAGAUAGUAGUCUUCACAUGGGAUUACUGUCGAAGCAAAAGUGCUAAGUACCCCGCCUGGGGAGUAUGGUCGCAAGGCUGAAACUCAAAGGAAUUGACGGAAUCGA
rnacentral:rRNA from 1 species